rnacentral:rRNA from 1 species
UACAGGGGGGGCAAGCGUUGUUCGGAAUUACUGGGCGUAAAGGGUUCGUAGGUGGCCAACUUAGUCAGACGUGAAAUCCCUCAGCUUAACUGGGGAACUGCGUCUGAUACUGGAUGGCUUGAGUGCAGGAGAGGAACGCGGAAUUCCAGGUGUAGCGGUGAAAUGCGUAGAUAUCUGGAGGAACACCGGUGUCGAAGGCGGCGUUCUGGACUGCAACUGACACUGAGGAACGAAAGCCAGGGGAGCAAACGGG